GGUGGGGAAAUGGUGAAAUGAAGUGUUAUGAUGGUGUGACUGUCAGAUGGCAGUCUGAGUUCUUGCAAUGGACUGUCUAUGCUGUAACAUAGUGGAUCGAUUACAGUACCAGUCACUGCUGUUACACUUUUUGUCUAUCAAAGGUUGUAAAAGUCUUAUUGUUUGAUCAUCUAUACAAAGAUGCUUUUUGGUGUCUAGUUGGUGAGAAAGCACGUGUAGUGAGUUACUAAGUUUUGCACACUUUAGCAUAUUUGCAGUGGUGGGUGACAAUGUGAGAGAUCAAUGCAAAUAGGGUGUUGUAGAAACUGAUGUGCUGAUUAUGAAAAUGACAAUAUGAACUUGUAGGCAGGAAAUGAGAAAGGGGAGGGGCUGGAUAUGAAAACAUAUUGAGACUAGACUGUACCCGCCCCGGAUGUGAGGGUGUGUGAGGAGGAGUAUAUAAGAGCAAGCUCACCAGCUCACUUCAUCAGUAUCGAGGAUAUCGGUCAUCAUCAUGUUUUCAUUUUUUGUGACAGUUCUUGUGCUCAUUCAAGUCAUUGCUACUUGUGGUGGUCAAAGUGCGUCAGAUGAGAGAAAUCAGCAGACAUGUGUGCCUGCUGGUGUUCUGGGAGUACCUGGAUCACCUGGGUUACAUGGAUCCCCCGGACGAGAU